UGUAGUCAUAUGCUUGCCUCAAAGAUUAAGCCAUGCAUGUCUAAGUAUAAGCAAUUAUACCGUGAAACUGCGAAUGGCUCAUUAAAUCAGUUAUCGUUUAUUUGAUAAUACCUUACUACUUGGAUAACCGUGGUAAUUCUAGAGCUAAUACAUGCUGAAAAUCCCGACUUCGGAAGGGAUGUGUUUAUUAGAUAAAAAACCAAUGCCCUUCGGGGCUCUUUGGUGAUUCAUGAUAACUUUACGGAUCGCAUAGCCUUGCGCUGGCGACGGUUCAUUCAAAUUUCUGCCCUAUCAACUUUCGAUGGUAAGGUAUUGGCUUACCAUGGUUUCAACGGGUAACGGGGAAU
rnacentral:rRNA from 1 species